rnacentral:rRNA from 1 species
GAUGAACGCUGGCGGCGUGCCUAAUACAUGCAAGUCGAGCGAACGGACGCGAAGCUUGCUUCUCUGAUGUUAGCGGCCGACGGGUGAGUAACACGUGGAUAACCUACCUAUAAGACUGGGAUAACUUCGGGAAACCGGCGCUAAUCCCGGAUACUAUUUUGCUCCGCAUGGUUCAAAAGUGAAAGACGGUCUUGCUGUCACUUAUAGAUGGAUCCGCGCUGCAUUAGCUAGUUGGUAAGGUAACGGCUUACCAAGGCAACGAUGCAUAGCCGACCUGAGAGGGUGAUCGGCCACACUGGAACUGAGACACGGACCAGACUCCUACGGGAGGCAGCAGUAGGGAAUCCUCCGCAAUUGGCGAAAGCCUGACGGAGCAACGCCGCGUGAGUGAUGAAGGUCUUCGGAUCGUAAAACUCGGUAAGUAGGGAAGAACAUAUGUGUAAGUAACUGGUCACAUCUUGAAGGUACCUGAGCAGAAGUCCACGGCUGACCACGUG